GAUGAACGCUGGCGGCGUGCUUAACACAUGCAAGUCGAACGAUGAAGCCCAGCUUGCUGGGUGGAUUAGUGGCGAACGGGUGAGUAACACGUGAGUAACCUGCCCUUAACUCUGGGAUAAGCCUGGGAAACUGGGUCUAAUACCGGAUAGGAGCGCCUACCGCAUGGUGGGUGUUGGAAAGAUUUAUCGGUUUUGGAUGGACUCGCGGCCUAUCAGCUUGUUGGUGAGGUAAUGGCUCACCAAGGCGACGACGGGUAGCCGGCCUGAGAGGGUGACCGGCCACACUGGGACUGAGACACGGCCCAGACUCCUACGGGAGGCAGCAGUGGGGAAUAUUGCACAAUGGGCGAAAGCCUGAUGCAGCGACGCCGCGUGAGGGAUGACGGCCUUCGGGUUGUAAACCUCUUUCAGUAGGGAAGAAGCGAAAGUGACGGAACCUGCAGAAGAAGCACCGGCUAACUACGUG
rnacentral:rRNA from 1 species